rnacentral:rRNA from 1 species
UACGAAGGGUGCUAGCGUUGUUCGGAAUUACUGGGCGUAAAGCGCACGUAGGCGGACUUGCCAGUCAGGGGUGAAAUCCCGAGGCUCAACCUCGGAACUGCCUCCGAUACAGCAAGUCUCGAGUCCGGAAGAGGUGAGUGGAAUUCCUAGUGUAGAGGUGAAAUUCGUAGAUAUUAGGAAGAACACCAGUGGCGAAGGCGGCUCACUGGUCCGGUACUGACGCUGAGGUGCGAAAGCGUGGGGAGCAAACAGG